GCCUAGCGAAACCGCGGACGGCUCAUUAAAUCAGUUGUGGUCUAAAUGUGCGAUUCAGUUACCAAACUGUUGGAUAACUGUGGUAAUUCCAGAGCUAAUACAUGCGACUCUAAAUCCCUAGCCUAGCGAUAGGCGACGGAUGCUUUUAUUAGACCGAGGUGAACGGCCGCGUGAUCUUUCGAGGUUGCGCGGUUCGCGAUGCUAAAGGUGACUCUGGAUAACACCAUGCUAAGCGCACGCAUCGCUAUUGUAGCGGGCGGCGCUGCCACUUUCGAGUGACUGCCUUAUCAGCUAGUAACGUUUGUUAUGCGCAAACGCUGGCUCUGACGGGUAACGGGGAAUCAGGGCUCGAUUCCGGAGAGGCAGCCUGAGAGACGGCUACCACGUCCAAGGACGGCAGCAGGCACGCAAAUUACCCAAUCCCAGCACCUGGGGGAGGUAGUGACGAAACAUACCGAUGCGGGCGUCUCUUCGGAGCGCCCGCAAUCAGAAUGGCUAUUUCCUAAACACCCUAACGAGAACCUACUAAAGGGCAAGUCUGGUGCCAGCAGCCGCGGUAAUUCCAGCUU
rnacentral:rRNA from 1 species